rnacentral:rRNA from 1 species
AUUGAACGCUGGCGGUAUGCUUAACACAUGCAAGUCGAACGAUGAGAAAGAGCUUGCUCUUUCGAUUAGUGGCGGACGGGUGCGUAACGCGUAGGAAUCUACCUAUUAGUGGGGGACAACUUAGGGAAACUUAAGCUAAUACCGCAUACGCCCUACGGGGGAAAGAAGGGGAUCGCAAGACCUUUUGCUAAUAGAUGAGCCUGCGUAGGAUUAGCUAGUUGGUGGGGUAAAAGCUCACCAAGGCGACGAUCCUUAACUGGUUUGAGAGAAUGAUCAGGCACACUGGAACUGAGACACGGUCCAGACUCCUACGGGAGGCAGCAGUGGGGAAUAUUGGACAAUGGGCGAAAGCCUGAUCCAGCAAUACCGCGUGUGUGAAGAAGGCCUUAGGGUUGUAAAGCACUUUCAAUUGGAAGGAAAACCUCGAAGCUAAUACCUUCGAGUUUGACAUUACCUUUAGAAGAAGCACCGGCUAACUCCGUGCCAGCAGCCGCAGUAA